UCUAGUCUUGGGAGUCAGCAUGCUUGAAGAAAUGCAACCUUGGCUUCCAGUCUGCACUCGGUCACUCGCCAGGUUAGGAAGUUGUCAAGGGAGGAGCUCUCUAAGCCUCGGCUUCCUCAUUGCAUCGUUCAAAGAAAAACUUCAGACAAAUUAAGUAUAACAGAGUUUAAUAGAGAAAAGAAUGGGUCACACAUCAGGCAGCUCCCCAGAACCAGAAUAGGUUCUGAGGUGUGACUCUGGGGCUGCUACGGGUUAGGACAGAAAAGUGGCAAUAGCGGGAAUGGAAAUGGAAGUGACAGCCAGAAACAGUGGGAUUGGCUCCGGCUCCGUGUUUGCCUUUUUUUUUUUUUUUUCGUCUUGAGAUGGAGUCUCGCCCUUUCACCCAGGCUGGAGUGCAAUGAUGCGAUCUCAGCUCACUGCAACCUCCGCCUCCUGAGUUCAAGCGAUUCUCCUACCUCAGCCUCCUGAGAGGCUGGGAUUACAGGCGCCCGCCACCACGUCUGGCUAAUUGUUGUAUUUUUAGUAGAGACAGGGUUUCGUCAUUUUGGCCAGGCUGGUCUCUAACUCCUGACCUCAGGUGAUCCGCCCACCUCCGCAUCCCAAAAUGCUGGGAUUACAUGUGUGAGCCACCACGCCUAGCCUAGUGUUUGCCUUUUUCAGCAGUUUGAACAGUGGCCGCUGUGAGCAGUUGAGAGACGGCUGCUGGGAUUGGCUGGGGCUUGGCUACGUGUUCCAGGAGCAGGUGGCGUCCUGUGGACACAUCCAGGAAAUGCUAUCCCAAAAUAGGACAUCUUGGGAAAUGAGAAAACUGCAGAAGCCAGAAGGUUCCUCUCUGGCCUUUUUCUACCUUUCUCCCCUGUGAGCUGGCCAGAAAAGAGUUUUCUGACCUACUUUCCCUGAAAAUAAGACUGUCAUUCCAGAUAUCAGCCCCUCGUAUGCCUCUGAAACCUGGAGAGGAGCUGCACACAGACAGGCCAGGAAGGUUCUGAGCCGAGAGGCCUUGUUCAUUUCCCGAGCGUAUCACCUUCAGAUCACACCCUUUUCCUCCAAUCACACUUCAGCACGACUCCCAUAAAAAUACAGUUUUCUCUGUGUCUUUGGGUCUUCAUUUCUGAAGGUUCUCAUGUAAAAUAAAACUUCUAUUAAAUAAAUUCAUUAUGCUUUUCUUUUGUUAAUCCCUAUUUUGUUAUAGGAUCUCAGUCAUGAACCCAGGGGUGGGUGAGGAAAGCAUAUUACUUAUUUUUCCCCUCAACUAUCAUAUAUGACCAAUUUGUCAAGCACAUGCUAAAGGUUUUGCACACAUCGCACCAUUUAUUUGCAUGUUUACUGGCACACUAUGAAGUGGCGUUAUAAUUACUGUUCUACGAUAAAGAUACGGAGGCUUAGCAGAAUCAGUGCGCCCAGGGUGAGAAAGCCCGUGGCCGAGGGAGCUGGAAUUCUUGUCUGGAUCUCUGGGACUCCUCUUCCCUCCCGAGGACACUUUCUUCAUUGUCAGCUGGAACACAGGGCCUUGCAUUGUGAGGCUGGCCCAGCACCAGCUGCGUGAAAAUCAAAGCUGCCGUGGCACUUCAACAACCGGAAGUUACCACCAUGUGAUCAGCUGGUUUCCAGGCACCAGCGGUUCCAAAGAUGGACAGAAAUAAUAAAUGUUCAUUCUGCGAGGUGCUGACGGCGUGGCUUUUGCAGGGUUUGCACCAGGGAUGUGCGUUAUGGGAGACCCGAUCUCUUGUGUCCUUAGGGAUUUCACUGCACGGGAGAACCACAGGGUUUGAGCUGGAGUCCUCCUGGCACCCAAGGAUGGAGUCGGUUCACUGCAGUCAGCAGAAGUAGUUUCCCUGGCACCCAAGGAUGGAGUCGGUUCACUGCAGUCAGCAGAAGUAGUUUCCCUGGCACCCGUUCCUCCAGAGAACACCUGCUCAGAUACAGGUAACCCUGCACCUGUGUAUGGAUCAUCGGACACCUGCUCAGAUCCAGAUCCAGAUCCAACCCAAGCACCUGUGCAGGGAUCAUCGGCGAGACUUACAGAGCUCCCAGGGAUAGAAAGGAUUUCCAUCUGUGACUCCACAGAGGAGGCAUCUGAUGGGCGUGGGCUGUCGUCAGAAUGCGCCUGGCCUCACAGAACCUGGCGGGAGCAGUGCGGGGAAUGGCCAUCUCUGUUCUGAGCACACUGGCCUUCCUGAGGACAAGCCGGCUGCCCUCCCAGGCUGACCUGUGAGUGGACGACAUUGCACACGCCCUCCUCGCUGGGGUGGAAAAGGAAGCUGUCAGAAUGAGCAGUGCGACUCACCAGCUGGGGUACCUCCAAGUAAAGAGGCCUUCCUUCCAGAACCACUGUAAGCCAGCAUUGCUGUUUUACAUAGAAGAAGAAAGGUUAUAGUUUUCAUAAGGAAAUCUCAAUGUGAAUGCCAGCAAUAUAAAGAUAAUGCAUGUCCACCUGCUUUAAGAUGAAUUGUGGUUGCUUUUCAUAUUUCUCACUGAGGAAUGAUCAGGCAUUUAUCUAGUAAAUGCUUAGAAGGUGCUUCUCACCUUGACCUGGACUCUGAUUUCCCCAUGGUUGUGCUUUCGUUGAUGGUGUAAAUCUGCACCUGCACCAGCACCAGCAAUUCCGAGACUCCUGUAAGAAAUCAGGGAGGAUCCCUGGUUCUUGGCAUAGGAGCAGGUGUGUGGUCAGGGGGAUGACAGACCCCACAGAGUGUGGUCCACUGAGCAGCUCUUGGGGAGGAUGAAGAUGGGAACAAACAAACAAAAGCAGGUGUGAGAGCUCUGAGCAAGGGAGCAGGUCAUUCACACUUCCUGGGCCCCUGGGUUGGUUUCUUUCCUGCAAUAAGGAGUGUGAUAUUUCUUCUCGGGGGAUCCUGAGUUUGAAAAUGUCUUGUGAAUGGUAAUGUCUGGGACAAAUAUCCUGUCCUGGAGCAGGAGGAGGUAAGAGGGGGACAGACUGCGACCAUCAUCAACCAUCUGCUGCUGGUGGACCCUCAGGAGCAGAGGAUGCAGGGGUGUGGGGGCCUGGCUGGGGAGCCUGGGCCUUGCAGUGGGUCCUGUGGGGUCCCCAAGUCCCCUUGGCUCUCCCUGGGCCUUGCAGGGGGUCCUGUGGGGUUCCCGAGGCCCCUCAACUCUCCCUGGGUCUUGCAGGGGGUUCUGUGGGUUCCCCGAGGCCCCUCAACUCUCCCUGGGCCUUGCAGGGGGUCCUGUGGGGUCCCUGAGGCCCCUUGACUCUCCCUAAGGUUUCUUGGGCAUCUAUUGGUAGUACUUUACCCCAAAACCCCCAUCACAGGCUGGGACGCUCUCCCCAGCAGAAGAAACAGGGGAUUGGGUUCAGGCCCCCUUAAUCUCCCCACCUACAGCCAAG
rnacentral:lncRNA from 10 species